GACAUAGGGGGCAAGCGUUGCUCGGAAUUACUGGGCGUAAAGGGCGCGUAGGCGGGAUGGCAAGUCGGUCGUGAAAUCCCUCGGCUCAACCGAGGAACGUCGAUCGAUACUGCUGUUCUUGAGGAUUGCAGAGGAGACUGGAAUUCCCGGUGUAGCGGUGAAAUGUGUAGAGAUCGGGAGGAACACCGGUGGCGAAGGCGGGUCUCUGGGCCGAUACUGACGCUGAGGAGCGAAAGCGUGGGGAGCAAACAGG
rnacentral:rRNA from 1 species